UCCGAGUUGACCCCGGCAGUCUCCUAUGAGUCCCCACCAUAACGUGCUGGCAACAUAGGACGAGGGUUGCGCUCGUUGCGGGACUUAACCCAACAUCUCACGACACGAGCUGACGACAGCCAUGCAGCACCUGUGUUCCAGUUCCCUUUCGGGCACAGCCGCCUUUCAGCAGCCUUCCGGACAUGUCAAGGGUAGGUAAGGUUUUUCGCGUUGCAUCGAAUUAAUCCACAUAAUCCACCGCUUGUGCGGGUCCCCGUCAAUUCCUUUGAGUUUUAACCUUGCGGCCGUACUCCCCAGGCGGUCAACUUCACGCGUUAGCUUCGUUACCAAGGAAUUGCUUCCCCGACAACUAGUUGACAUCGUUUAGGGCUAGGACUAC
rnacentral:misc_RNA from 1 species